AGUGAACGCUGGCGGUAGGCCUAACACAUGCAAGUCGAACGGCAGCACAGGAGAGCUUGCUCUCUGGGAGGCGAGUGGCGGACGGGUGAGGAAUACAUCGGAAUCUACCUUUUCGUGGGGGAUAACGUAGGGAAACUUACGCUAAUACCGCAUACGACCUUCGGGUGAAAGCAGGGGACCUUCGGGCCUUGCGCGGAUAGAUGAGCCGAUGUCGGAUUAGCUAGUUGGUGGGGUAAAGGCCCACCAAGGCGACGAUCCGUAGCUGGUCUGAGAGGAUGAUCAGCCACACUGGAACUGAGACACGGUCCAGACUCCUACGGGAGGCAGCAGUGGGGAAUAUUGGACAAUGGGCGCAAGCCUGAUCCAGCCAUACCGCGUGGGUGAAGAAGGCCUUCGGGUUGUAAAGCCCUUUUGUUGGGAAAGAAAAGCAACCAGUUAAUACCUGGUUGUUCUGACGGUACCCAAAGAAUAAGCACCGGCUAACUUCGUGCCAGCCGCCGCGGUAA
rnacentral:rRNA from 1 species